UCCCUGUAGGAGUAGUGGUCAGGCCACAGCAGUCUCACCACUGUGGCCUGGGUUCGAUUCCCAGCCAGGGAA